AAAUUUGGAUUAAUGCCCCAUGGUAUGUAGAAGCGGCAUCGCUUCUACAUUAAAGGCUACGGUACAAGAUGACUAUGCCUCCCCUUAGUUAGUUGGUGAGGUAACGGCUCACCAAGACGGCGAUGGGUAGGGGCCCUGAGAGGGGGAUCCCCCACACUGGUACUGAGACACGGACCAGACUCCUACGGGAGGCAGCAGUGAGGAAUAUUGGACAAUGGGCGAGAGCCUGAUCCAGCCAUGCCGCGUGCAGGAAGACGGUCCUAUGGAUUGUAAACUGCUUUUAUACGGGAAGAACAAAGGGCACGUGUGCCCCUCUGACGGUACCGUAAGAAUAAGGAUCGGCUAACUCCGUGCCAGCAGCCGCGGUAAUACGGAGGAUCCAAGCGUUAUCCGGAAUCAUUGGGUUUAAAGGGUCCGUAGGCGGGCCAUUAAGUCCGGGGUGAAAGUCUGCAGCUCAACUGUAGAAUUGCCCUUGAUACUGGUGGUCUUGAGUUAUAGUGAAGUAACUAGAAUAUGUAGUGUAGCGGUGAAAUGCAUAGAUAUUACAUAGAAUACCGAUUGCGAAGGCCGGUUACUAACUAUAUACUGACGCUGAUGGACGAAAGCGUGGGGAGCGAACAGGAUUAGAUACCCUGGUAGUCCACGCCGUAAACGAUGGAUACUAGCUGUCCGGAUGCAAAUCUGGGCGGCCAAGCGAAAGUGAUAAGUAUCCCAAC
rnacentral:rRNA from 1 species